GACGGUAACAGCCCGGUAGUUGAAAUGGCUUUCCCUCCAGAGUGGAUCCUGAGUACGGCGGAACACGUGAAAUUCCGUCGGAAUCCGGGAGGACCAUCUCCCAAGGCUAAAUACUCCCUAGUGACCGAUAGUGAACCAGUACCGUGAGGGAAAGGUGAAAAGCACCCCGGAAGGGGAGUGAAACAGUUCCUGAAACCGUGUGCCUACAAGUAGUUAGAGCCCGUUAAUGGGUGAUAGCGUGCCUUUUGUAGAAUGAACCGGCGAGUUACGAUUUGUUGCAAGGUUAAGCGGAAAAAGCGGAGCCGUAGCGAAAGCGAGUCUGAAUAGGGCGCAUAAGUAACAGGUCGUAGACCCGAAACCAGGUGAUCUACCCAUGUCCAGGAUGAAGGUAAGGUAAUACUUACUGGAGGUCCGAACCCACGCACGUUGAAAAGUGCGGGGAUGAGGUGUGGGUAGCGGAGAAAUUCCAAUCGAACUUGGAGAUAGCUGGUUCUCUCCGAAAUAGCUUUAGGGCUAGCCUCGAGGUAAAGAGUCAUGGAGGUAGAGCACUGUUUGGACUAGGGGCCCUUCUCGGGUUACCGAAUUCAGAUAAACUCCGAAUGCCAUGUACUUAUACUCGGGAGUCAGACUGCGAGUGAUAAGAUCCGUAGUCGAAAGGGAAACAGCCCAGACCACCAGUUAAGGUCCCCAAAUAUAUGUUAAGUGGAAAAGGAUGUGGGGUUGCUUAGACAACCAGGAUGUUGGCUUAGAAGCAGCCACCAUUGAAAGAGUGCGUAAUAGCUCACUGGUCGAGUGACCCCGCGCCGAAAAUGUACCGGGGCUAAACAUAUUACCGAAACUGUGGAUGAACCUCUUUAGAGGUUCGUGGUAGGAGAGCGUUCUAAGGGCGGUGAAGUCAGACCGGAAGGACUGGUGGAGCGCUUAGAAGUGAGAAUGCCGGUAUGAGUAGCGAAAGAAGGGUGAGAAUCCCUUCCACCGAAUAUCUAAGGUUUCCUGAGGAAGGCUCGUCCGCUCAGGGUUAGUCGGGACCUAAGCCGAGGCCGAUAGGCGUAGGCGAUGGACAACAGGUAGAGAUUCCUGUACCAGUGCUAAUUGUUUAACCGAUGGGGUGACACAGAAGGAUAGGGAAUCGCACGAAUGGAAAUGUGCGUCCAAGCAGUGAGUGUGAGAAGUAGGCAAAUCCGCUUCUCGCGAAGCAUGAGCUGUGAUGGGGAAGGAAAUUAAGUACGGAAGUUCCUGAUUUCACGCUGUCAAGAAAAGCCUCUAGGAAGAGUAGUACUGCCCGUACCGCAAACCGACACAGGUAGAUGAGGAGAGAAUCCUAAGGUGAGCGAGAGAACUCUCGUUAAGGAACUCGGCAAAAUGACCCCGUAACUUCGGGAGAAGGGGUGCUCUAUUAGGGUGCAAGCCCGAGAGAGCCGCAGUGAAUAGGCCCAGGCGACUGUUUAGCAAAAACACAGGUCUCUGCAAAACCGUAAGGUGACGUAUAGGGGCUGACGCCUGCCCGGUGCUGGAAGGUUAAGAGGAGUGCUUAGCUUCGGCGAAGGUACGAAUUGAAGCCCCAGUAAACGGCGGCCGUAACUAUAACGGUCCUAAGGUAGCGAAAUUCCUUGUCGGGUAAGUUCCGACCCGCACGAAAGGCGCAACGAUCUGGGCACUGUCUCAACGAGAGACUCGGUGAAAUUAUAGUACCUGUGAAGAUGCAGGUUACCCGCGACAGGACGGAAAGACCCC
rnacentral:rRNA from 1 species